GUGGAAGAAGAUCUUCUGGACUUUGGAUUCUGGCUUGGAUUUCCAGAUUCUAACUCAACCAGAUCAACUGUAACUUUAUUUGCAGAAUAGCUGGAGAGAGAAGGACCUGACUGACCCAGCUCUGGAUGACAUGCCUGCCUCUAGACCAAUCAGCUAUGACCAGGAGUCUGCGGCCAUGUUGCAUAAAGUGGCACGGAGGAGCCAUGACAAGACCAUGGGGGUGACAGUUCCCAGGAAGAGGGACAGCAGACCGCAGUGAACACGCGGAGUGGAGGAGUUACGUGAGAGGUAGACCAGCUGGCUGGAGGGUGAAGGUGAAGUUUCCAGCCUGUGAACUCUGUCCUACAGACUUUACGGGGAAACUUGUCUUGCUGGCUUGAAAAGCCCCAAGAGCCUCCUGGGGAGAAACCCUCUGUUUGAAAUGAUGUGUUUCUGUCCCCAGCACCUAGC